rnacentral:lncRNA from 1 species
UCAUUAACAUUCAUUACAAAAAGUUUUCUGGGAUAUGGCAACAUCUGCAAAAAAUAUAAUAAUUCAUUUUAAACAACCUCCAUUACUGGAAACAUUUCCUUAUUUUCUCUUCGACCACUAUAUAUUUUUUCAUAUACUCUUGUAUAUUCUUAAAUCUUAUACAUUAUUUAACCCUUACUAAGAUUAUAUUUCAAAGAUUCUUUGGUGAGAAAGUUAAACCUACUCUGCAACCACUGUCCAGUGACAACAAUUUUUUUAAAUUUAUUGUUACAUUUAUAAAUCUGUGCAUUUAUAUAUCAUUUUUCAAUCACAGACUUUACACCAAGAUAUCUUUGAUUAAUAAUCUUUUUUUUUUUUAAUGUUUAUGGCAUAUUAAUCCGUAAGACUGUGCUAUGCAAUGCUUCACAACCUAGAAAUGCCAAGAUGAUGUAAAAAUGAACGUUGAUUUUUUAACAAUUUGUAGAUCCAAUGGAAUUGCAAUCAGUACGUAACGUCUUUAAUGGGUGCAUGCAAAGUUAAAGAAUCAGGUAAGUGGCACAGGUGAUUAAAAAACUCCUGCACACCAUAGUCAACAGUGUUAAACCUUGGAGUUAAAUGCACCAUCAUUGCCAAUGGAAUGAAAAAUUUAAUUUGUUGUAUUCUACUAUUUGGGAACCAAGGCUAGACUGUGGUGCUCGGUACACACACUACACAGGUGUUGGAAUGGAAUAAGCAGAAAGUGAGUUUGAUAAGGGCAAAUUGGCCAGAAUUUGUGAGAAAUAGAAAGUGUAUGAAACCAGCUCAUGUCUAUGUAAUCUCAAAAAGUGUUGCUCUAAGCCAGUGCAUAGUUUGCAUUAUGGGAUGGGGAGAUGCCACGCAAGCAGAGAUAAAUGUUCUAUGCUAAACUAGUCAGUCUUUGAACUUUUUCCCCCCAUAUGUAUAUCUACAAUGUGGAUAAAAAUUUGCCUGGAAUGAUGGGCUCACCAGUUACCAACUAAUAUGGGAAUAAACCGCAUCGUAUCCACUGCAUGAAAUAGAUUUGUAUUGUGAUAUAUUGUGGUAUUAUGAGAUAUUUUGGAUAUCAAGCAUUAGUCUGGUAAAUACUGCAUUUCAUUUAUAUUUUACAUGACUAAUCUACAAAAGUGUUUUUAAUUUGUACAAGUGAAUUAUCUAGAAUGGAACCAUUUGAUUUGAAAAUUCUUACAUUCAAAGGGUUACUCCAACCAAAAAACAAAGCUUUAUUAAAAUAGUUUUUAGUUGGGAUAACCCUUGCAAUUACUGUCCCCCUUGCUUUUUUAAUAUAAAAAUUUAAUAAAAGGUAAUAUAACUCACCUUCAAAAAAACAAACAAACCCAAUCCACCUUCAAUCAUGUCACUUCCCAUCACAGUCCAAUUAAAUGCUUCUCAUAGAGAGGAAUUGCUGCGAGGCAAACAGGGAGGGAUAGACCGAGGGAGGCAUAGAGUAAUCUUGUUCACCUACUAUUCCCAAAUGUCAGACUUGUAUUUUUAGAAUUAAUUUCUUGUCUUAUUUAAGUAUUGUACAGUGCUACAGAAUAUGUUAUAUUAAUAAUUCUAGAGGGGGAACUCAUUGAGCAACUUAUACAUUUGUUGGCAGCAUGCUGUGUGCAGUCAAUGGACCAUUCUAUGGACAGAAUUCAUAUUAGCCAGAGCAGAAUUCCUAAACACACAGUAUCUUCACCUAACAGGUCUGGUCAACUACAGUCUUUAAUCUACGAUUCUACUGCAGCACCUUUCAUCUUAAUUAGUUUAAAAUUAUGAAUGAGAAAGAUGGAACCUACAUUUUACCAAAACUGAAAGUUUUCUUAACUAAACUCUGAAUUCUUGUGAAUUGAUUUGCAAAAUUUAGGCAAAAAUUCUCCAGCUUAGCUAUAGUCGCACCUUGGCUAUUUUAGUUUAACCGUUGGAAUUCACUUUUCAAUUCACUACAAUUUUUUUUUUGGGGGGGGGGCUGCUUUAUAUUUCAUCUGAGAUUCCACAAGCUUUAUUGUUUAUUUACUCUAAAGAAUCAAAGAAAAAAAAAAUCAAAGUGGGUGUCAGUCUUCCACUCUAACUAAACAGAGAUUGGUGGCCAGCAACAGUGCAUAUAGAUUAUAUACAGCAUAUGAGUAUGUGUGUUUGUAAUAUAUAUUAGAACACCUUAAGCAGAGGUAGUUAGUAUAUAGUUCUGCAUCUUUAGUUCAUCAAUCCCCAAUAAAGUGUGGAGUAUGCUGGGAGCUAUCAAUUUAUAAUUGAUAUUCUCAUAUAAAAAUAAUAAUAAAUUGUACAUUUUAAAGUGCCCCAUGAAUUUUUUCCCCCUCUAUUAAAUGAAGGCAAAAUUGUCCGUAAUGGAACAUGUGCAGUUUUGUUUCUUUGUAUGAUUUAUAUCGUCACAAAAAUAAGUGAAGAUCAUAUGUCUACAAGGAAAGCUCUACUCACUUGCUGUAUAUAAUGUCCCUAGCUAAAUAAGCAGGGCAUUGCUAGUUUAAAGGGAUAUUCCAGGCACAACUUAAAGGAACGCUCCAGGCACUAUAACUACAACACUGCGCUGUCGCCCACCCGCAAUGUACAUACGCAAACAAUUUGCUAAUGGUUUGACAAUUUUGCUGGAAUCUGCCUGAUGCCAGUAACGUCUUCCAUGGUUGCUGGAAGCUCUCUGCAUCGAGUUAGGACUGGUGCUGCAGAGCUUAGUACAUUGGCUCGGAGUGUUCAUCUGAGGUUUAGCUGUGUGCAAGAGCUUCUGGCUCUCAAUGGAUGAAGUAACUAGACCUCAGCAAAGUUAUCAAACUGUUAGCAGACAGUUUCACUUCUUACAUUUCAGGGGUUCCAGGGUACAUUUGAACUAACAUGCAUAUUUUCCUCUUAUUUUUGUGAGUGAGUAUGUUAAAGUCAACUUUACUGUUCUUAUGGGAAAGGAGGAAGGUCGUAAUAAUCAGUAAGUGAGGCACUGUCAUAUUGGAUGCUCAGAGCUAAUCUUCUAUUGACUGAGCUGUGCUGGGCACAUACACUGAAUUGGAUCAGGAAGACUUUUUUUUCUUCUUAGAAAUGAGGGUUGUGCCUACAAAGAUGAGUUAUGUUUUAGAAAGCUAAACAACCUAAUUUGCACUGGUACUUAAAAUUUCCCUAUAAAGAUAGUGAUGACAAAAAUAAUGCUAUUGAUCCUAAUAGGGCUUAAUAACACGCCAGGAAUUUUGUUUGUAUUUUGUUGACAUGACUGACUUCCAACACAUCUUAAGUCAGUGGAGACAAACGUUUUUCAAAUCAAUUGUGAACUCAGUAUUUAGUGGAUUAAUUCAGGAGACUAAUAAAGUAAUUCAUCAAUUACCUAUGUUGCCAUAUUUUGGUUAAUUUUUCUAUAAUUAUAGAAUUAUGUCCAAACUGAUUACUUGUGCAUGAAUCCUAGAAGUGCCAGAAUUAUAUCCCUACAUAAUUCAUCUUAAUGUGUUUUAAAUCAACAUGGAUUAUUUUACAUGGUUUAAAGGGAAGAGGAAAGCUAAAAAUUGAAAAUAUUUUCCAACCAACUAGGUUUUCCUUCGGAUCUCAUCAGCAUUUAAAACCAGAGAUCUGGACUUGUGCACUGCUGAAAAUAUUUGGUAUAGCCACAUGUUUUAAAUUAAAGUUUGGUGGUCCGAGAUUCCUCUAUAUGGCAUUUUGUUUCGGAUUAAUUUUUUUCAACGAUUCGGGAAAAGCAAACCGGACAAACCAAAAGACCUUGAAAAUGGACCAUUUGGUAAACUGCAAAACAUAAACAAAAAAAUUAAAAUAAAUGUAUAUUAUAUUGCAGUAUACGGAUAGGCGCACUUUCC